UAUAAAUUUUUAUGGUUUGAAAAAUUUAUUUAAAAUUUAUUUUACAUAUAAAUUUUGGUAUUAAAUUUAAUUAUUUAAAUAAUAAUUAAAUUAUUUAUGUAGUAAUUAAUAUUAAAAAUUUAAGUAAUUAAGAUUUAGUAAUAUAAAAAUUAAUAACAAAUUUUGUGCCAGCAGUUGCGGUUAUACAAAAAUUAAAAUAAAUUUUUUUAGUGGUUAAUAAAUGUAAUUAAUUUAAUAAUUUAAAUUUUAGUUUAUUAAGUGAAAUUUUAACCUAAUUAAAAAUUAUUUUUAUGGGAUUAAUAAAUUUUGUUUAUAGACUAGGAUUAGAUACCCUAUUAUUAAAAAAUUAAAUAUAAAAUACUAAAAUAUUAGAUUUUGAUUGAAACUUAAAUAAUUUGGCGGUAUUUUAGUUCAUUUAGAGGAAUCUGUCUAAUAAUUGAUAAUCCACGAAUAAAUUUACUUAAUUUAUUAUUUUGUAUAUCGUUGUUGAAAAAAUAUUUUUAAAUAAUAGAUAAUAUUUUAAAAUUUUAAUAAAAAAUUAAAUCAAAUCAAGAUGCAGAUUAUAGUUAAGAAUAUGAUGGAUUACAAUAAAUUUAUUUAGGUGGAAAUUAAUGUGUAAUAUUAAUUGAAAAUGGAUUUAAAUGUAAUUUUUUUUUAGUUUAGUAAAAUGAUUAAUAAUUAAAAUAUGUACAUAUUGCCCGUCGCUUUCAUUUUAAAGUUGAAAUAAGUCGUAACAAAGUAGAGGUACUGGAAAGUGUUUCUAGAAAGAA
rnacentral:rRNA from 1 species